CUACGGGGGGCAGCAGUGGGGAAUAUUGCACAAUGGAGGAAACUCUGAUGCAGCAACGCCGCGUGGAGGAUGACACCUUUCGGAGCGUAAACUCCUUUUAUAUAGGAAGAAGAUGACGGUACUAUAUGAAUAAGCGCCGGCUAACUCCGUGCCAGCAGCCGCGGUAAUACGGAGGGCGCAAGCGUUACUCGGAAUCACUGGGAGUAAAGAGCGUGUAGGCGGAUUAAAAAGUCAGAAGUGAAAUCCUAUAGCUUAACUAUAGAACUGCUUCUGAAACUCUUAAUCUAGAAUAUGGGAGAGGUAGAUGGAAUUUCUGGUGUAGGGGUAAAAUCCGUAGAGAUCAGAAGGAAUACCGAUUGCGAAGGCGAUCUACUAGAACAUUAUUGACGCUGAGACGCGAAAGCGUGGGGAGCAAACAGGAUUAGAUACCCUUGUAGUC
rnacentral:rRNA from 1 species